rnacentral:rRNA from 1 species
GACAGAGGGUGCAAACGUUGCUCGGAAUCACUGGGCGUAAAGGGCGUGUAGGCGGGAAGGAUAGUCAGAUGUGAAAUCCCUGGGCUCAACCCAGGAACUGCAUUUGAAACUCCCUUUCUUGAGUGCUGGAGAGGAAGGCGGAAUUCCUGGUGUAGCGGUGAAAUGCGUAGAUAUCUGGAGGAAUACCGGUGGCGAAGGCGGCGAUCCUGGACCGGCAUUGACGCUGAGGAGCGAAAGCUAGGGGAGCAAACGGG